AGAGCGAACGCUGGCGGCAGGCCUAACACAUGCAAGUCGAGCGCCCCGCAAGGGGAGCGGCAGACGGGAGAGUAACACGUGGGAACGUGCCCUUUGGUUCGGAACAACACAGGGAAACUUGUGCUAAUACCGGAUAAGCCCUUACGGGGAAAGAUUUAUUGCCAAAGGAUCGGCCCGCGUCUGAUUAGCUUGUUGGUGAGGUAACGGCUCACCAAGGCUACGAUCAGUAGCUGGUCUGAGAGGAUGAUCAGCCUCACUGGGACUGAGACACGGCCCAGACUCCUACGGGAGGCAGCAGUGGGGAAUAUUGGACAAUGGCGCAAGCCUGAUCCAGCCAUGCCGCGUGGAUGAUGAAGGCCUUAGGGUUGUAAAGUCCUUUCGGCGGGGAAGAUAAUGACGGUACCCGCAGAAGAAGCCCCGGCUAACUUCGUGCCAGCAGCCGC
rnacentral:rRNA from 1 species